UUUAUCUUAGAUUUUUAAUGCUUUUAACGUAUAUUGCAAAUUUCUCUUGAGGACCAAGUAAAGAUAAUCGGAUAUAACGUGUUUCUAUGAUAAACUUAGAUGUAUUGUUGAUAGUGUGGUCUAGAGAACUUAUGGAUACAGGACCGUGUAGAUAUAUUUGAAAACGGCGAUAGUAAUGUUGAUACAUUGCCUGAAGUUGUGGAUGAACAGGGCACGGAUCAUAUAAUACAUGCAGGUACUGCACAGUCAAUUGUAACGCAAUUGAUUAGUUUGUUCUGUGUUGCUGCUGGCUCUUCUUUCCCUUUUCGGGUAACGUUUGUCUGAGAAGAAUCAUCCUCAACAAGGAAAACUUUAUUGGACUGCAGACUAUAUAUGAUUUGAAACGUUGAAGUGGUGAACUGUUUUAAAGAAUUUGGAGUUUUAAAUACAUGUAUAAGGGAAUAAUCGCACGAACAGUUUUUAAUAUAUGUAAAUAAGAUGCUGGUCCAGUUAUGUGAUUUUCACUGCGAGAACUUCCUUUUCCACAUAAAGCAAGCAGAUUCUUUUUCCCCACGGGUUUUUUUUCUAUCUGCAGUGAUGACAUUAAACGUCAAUCAGUUUUACCUCCUGUUUUAUGUUUUACUCAUUUUCUGUUUUUAUAUACGCUGGUUUCGAUUCCCCGGUUGUACGUGACAGGGAAUAGGUUCGCCUCUCCAACCUCGUGGGUUUUCUCCGCUUCUCCGGUUUCUUCCCACUGCUAAAGACCCCUACGCGUAAGCGAAUUAUUGAAAUAAAAUUGAACCAUCUCAAAUCAACCUGUCUAAAAUAUCGUUUUAUUAUAAUGUAUCGGACAAAUUAAUUAUUGUACAUUGUUUAGUUUUUUUAAUAGACUUAUGUUAAACAUUGAUUAGAUUUUUAUAGGCCCAUAUUUCAUAUUACAGAACAAAAUUCUAAAUUUUCCAUUUUCCUAAACUUGGAACAUAAACCGUUAUGGGAAUUUGAAAGGGGUCAAAAUUAUUUCGAAAUUUUCGACAUAGCAACAUGUGAUGGGGGGAUGGGGGGUAGAUGUAUUAUGCCUGUUCGUCCGUCAUGCUACAGGUCCCAAUUUUAAAUUUUCCCUUUUCCCUACACUUGGAACGUACCAGUUUAUGGUAAUUUGAAUGGGGUUAAAUUCAUUUCGAAAUUUUCGACAUA